CCUACGGGGGGCUGCAGUGGGGAAUAUUGGGCAAUGGGCGCAAGCCUGACCCAGCAACGCCGCGUGAAGGAAGAAGGCUUUCGGGUUGUAAACUUCUUUUAAGAGGGAAGAGCAGAAGACGGUACCUCUUGAAUAAGCCACGGCUAACUACGUGCCAGCAGCCGCGGUAAUACGUAGGUGGCAAGCGUUGUCCGGAUUUACUGGGUGUAAAGGGCGUGCAGCCGGGAAGACAAGUCAGAUGUGAAAUCCCGCGGCUGAACCGCGGAACUGCAUUUGAAACUGUUUUUCUUGAGUACCGGAGAGGUCAUCGGAAUUCCUUGUGUAGCGGUGAAAUGCGUAGAUAUAAGGAAGAACACCAGUGGCGAAGGCAGAUGACUGGACGGCAACUGACGGUGAGGCGCGAAAGCGUGGGGAGCAAACAGGAUUAGAUACCCGUGUAGUC
rnacentral:rRNA from 1 species